AGAUAUAUAUAUUAUUAAUAGGAAAGUCAUAAAUAUAUAAAUUAUAUUUUAUAAUUUAUAUAAUAAUAAAUAAAUUAUAUAUUUUAUAUAUAAUAUUAAUUAAUAAUAUAAAUAUUAUUAAUAUAAAUAAUAUAAUUUAUAUAAAAAUUAUAUAUAAAUUAAUAUAAUAUUAAUAAAGUAAUUAGUAUAAAUAAAUAAAUAUGAAAAUAAAACUUAAUAAAUAUAUAUAUAUAAUAAAAAAUAUGAUAAAAUAAAUAAAUCAUUAUUUUUUUAAGUCCAUAAAUAUAUAUAUAUUAAUAAAAAUAAUAUAUAUAUAUAUAUUGGAAUAGUUAUAUUAUUAUACAGAAAUAUGCUUAAUUAUAAUAUAAUAUCCA
rnacentral:misc_RNA from 1 species